AUUGAACGCUGGCGGCAGGCCUAACACAUGCAAGUCGAGCGGAUGAAGGGAGCUUUCUCCUGGAUUCAGCUGCGGACGGGUGAGUAAUUCCUAGGAAUCUGCCUGGUAGUGGGGGAUAACGUCCGGAAACGGGCGCUAAUACCGCAUACGUCCUGAGGGUGAAAGUGGUGGAUCUUCGGACCUCACGCUAUCAGAUGAGCCUAGGUCGGAUUAGCUAGUUGGUUGGGUAAAGGCCUACCAAGGCGACGAUCCGUAACUGGUCUGAGAGGAUGAUCAGUCACACUGGAACUGAGACACGGUCCAGACUCCUACGGGAGGCAGCAGUGGGGAAUAUUGGGCAAUGGGCGAAAGCCUGAUCCAGCCAUGCCGCGUGUGUGAAGAAGGUCUUCGGAUUGUAAAGCACUUUAAGUUGGGAGGAAGGGAAGUAAGUUAAUCCAUUGCUGUUUUGACGUUACCAACAGAAUAAGCACCGGCUAACUUCGUG
rnacentral:rRNA from 1 species